rnacentral:rRNA from 1 species
AGAGUUUGAUCCUGGCUCAGGACGAACGCUGGCGGCGUGCUUAACACAUGCAAGUCGAGCGGAAAGGCCCUUCGGGGUACUCGAGCGGCGAACGGGUGAGUAACACGUGAGUAACCUGCCCCGGGCUCUGGGAUAACUGUCGGAAACGAUGGCUAAUACCGGAUAUUCACAUCUGGCUGCAUGGCUGGGUGUGGAAAGUU